GACGAACGCUGGCGGCGUGCUUAACACAUGCAAGUCGAACGGAAAGGCCCUGCUUUUGUGGGGUGCUCGAGUGGCGAACGGGUGAGUAACACGUGAGUAACCUGCCCUUGACUUUGGGAUAACUUCAGGAAACUGGGGCUAAUACCGGAUAGGAGCUCCUGCUGCAUGGUGGGGGUUGGAAAGUUUCGGCGGUUGGGGAUGGACUCGCGGCUUAUCAGCUUGUUGGUGGGGUAGUGGCUUACCAAGGCUUUGACGGGUAGCCGGCCUGAGAGGGUGACCGGCCACAUUGGGACUGAGAUACGGCCCAGACUCCUACGGGAGGCAGCGGUGGGGAAUAUUGCACAAUGGGCGGAAGCCUGAUGCGGCAACGCCGCGUGCGGGAUGACGGCCUGCGGGUUGUAAACCGCUUUCGCCUGUGACGAAGCGUGAGUGACGGUAAUGGGUAAAGAAGCACCGGCUAACUACGUG
rnacentral:rRNA from 1 species